rnacentral:lncRNA from 1 species
AAAUAAUACUAACUGUAGAUAUUCAAUAUAUAAGAAAGCAUAUACUAAAAUGAGAGUAAUAUGUAAGAAGCUCUUUUAAAAUGUAAAAGUAUUAAAAUAUUGCAAUAUUUUUUAAUAUAUCAUACUGUUUUAUCACAAGUAAGAGAUAAAUAUGACAAAAAGGGUCAUCACUUGCACAUUUUCAAGAUUGGGAAUUUUGAAAUGUGUUUAAAGCAAAGAUUUAUAAAAUUUGAUAUCAACAUAUAACAUAGAUGAAUAAUGAUAAGUAUUUCUUAUCUAAUUUGCAGAAAUCUGGAACUUUCAAAAAGAGUAAGGAAAUAUUUAAAAACACAUUUUCACGCUGUGUAUUUUUCUACAUUUCGCUUUAAUAUUUUUCAUUUAUGAUAUUUUUUUACAUGUGUUCUCACAUUCCUUAUUCUUUUUGGGCUCAUAACUUUUAUGUAUUUUUGGUUUAAUUCCUCACUUAAGAACAACAUGUAAAACUCAAUGCAAUGUCACUGAAAUUAAAUUAAUAUAAUUUUUAACUGUA